UGUUGUGAGUCAGGAUGACAGGUGUUUUUGGUCAAACUGUUUAAAAAGAAGCAUCAGAUCCARUCCUCUACUGAAGACCUUCAGCUUCAGCUCACAUCCAUCUCUGACAGAGAAAAGACUCAUCAGCAAAGACAAGAUGAAGAUUAUUCUGUUGAUCACUGUCGUCUGCUGCACUGCCUUCGUUCUGGUCCUGGGUCAACAUAACAACAGUCCCUGUCAGCGUAACCCGAACAACAAUGCAUGCAACCAGUUUCGUCACAACCACAUCAUUCCAGACACCUUUGUCACAAACUCUAUUGMUGAAUGGGAAAAGCAUGUGGCAAGUUUGAAACGCUGCAACGUACCUGUUCAGACCUUCAUAAAGAAGACCAAUGAAAAUCUUGUUUUUCAGAUCUGCAAYGGUCGUGGCAAAAUCGAUCAGAAAAACUUGUGCACCAGCACUGCAACAAUGGUGGUGUACAAUUUAAAUGUUAACACCAAAGAUUGCUCA